GAUUAUUAUCACAAAGGAGCAUGUCUUCACAAGACGCGGCCACACUGUGAGACGCGGCAUGCAGUUUGGGCGCUGAUGUCCACUCAAGCUGCAUUUUAGCUCCGCGGCACACAGUACUCAUCUGCUGGUUACAGUUGCUGCAAUGCAUACAAGUGGUUGGUGAGUUACUCCUGGCCUGGCUGGAGUUUUAAGAAGCUGUCAAAGUUGGAGGGAAAUUAACCGUCCAUUAUGGCUCCUGUCCAUAGCCUUCAUGAAGAUGGAAUAACAGCCACUGCAGCAGAACUGACUACCAAAAGAAACAGCUGUGAGCGAUAAAGCGGCUCUGCAAACCUGACAAAAGGCCAAGGAAC